AAAAUAUGGUGAGGGAAUCUCUAGAGCAUUUCCUUAAAUCUAUCCCAACUCUCAUCAAUCGAUUCUUCUUCAAUGUAGGUAAAAGAAGUGAUGUCAUUUCUAAGUUU